CACCAGCAUACUUGCAAGAUUUGACAUAAACAACACCUUGAACAGCUAUAAAGCUUCUAGGGAGGGGAGUAGGAUGCAAUGGUGGGUGUGCUGGAGCAGGUGGGUGUAAUGGAGGGUGAGUUGGAACAACAGGGGUGUGAACGGGUGGGUGUAGUGGUGGAUGUGCUGGAGCAACAGGUGUGUGGACAGGUGUAGGAGCAGGAGGGUGAGGAUGAUGGUGGUGGUGGCCGUGAGUUGGUGGUUUAGCAGGUACAGGAGCAGAAUGGUAAGGAGGGUGUAGAGGGGUGUGAAUAGGAGAAGGAGAAGGAGUAGGAGUAGGAGCAGGGGUUGGUGAGUGAAUGUGGUGGUGGUGAUGGUGGUGAGGGGCGUUAGCCGGUGGGUGAAGUGGAGCUGGUGUUGUGUGAGGAGGGUAAGUUGGGGUAAGAGUUUCAAGCUCUUCUGCAAAUGUAGUGAAAGAGAUGAGUUGGAGUAAGAGUAGCAACAUUGCAAGGGUUUUAGCCAUUUCUCAAAGUGUAAGAGAAAGUAACCCUAGAAAGAGAGAGGAAGAGGAUGUGAUGUUGGUGUUAUGAGAGAGUGUGAGGGUUGAUUUAUAGGACCUAGUGCCCAAAUUUAUUGUGGUUUUUGUUUAUAUGCAAGUUAUUUUUUAAAAUAAUUUUGUUUCUUUAUUUUUGCUUUUUAGUGCAAGAUAUAAGCAGAAAUUUGGGGAAGGGGUUCCGAAAACUAGGAAAACAAUAGGACAAUGGGUAAAUGUUAAAAAUAUUUAAUUGUAUUUUUGUCUCCUAUUUUUUCAAACUUACAAAAUUAAUUUUCAUUUUUUUAACUUGAAAUUUUUGAUGCUCUAAUGCUAUGUUUAAUUGGUUUCGCGUUCAAUAUUUAUGGCAUUGUUCAAAUUGUGUUGUCUACAUGAUCACUGGUGUGAACAUCUUUUUAGUCUUGAAUAAGUAUUAUAGACCCAAUUUAUCUACACUAACUAUAAGAAAUGUUAUGUACAAUAGUAUUUUUUGUUGGAAAUAACCUAAGGAAAUUUUAACACUUGUUCUAUUUUUUCCUUAAUUCUUGGAUAUUUUGCUUCUAAUAUUGGUAUUUUGUACGUUUUAAAUGUUGAAAUUAUGGAUGUUAUCCUUGCUAUUGAGUUAGCUUAUGAGAAAUAUUUGACUCAUCUUUGACUUGAAUAUGAUUCUUAGCUUGUCAACUUGACUUUUAUGCCGUCUAAGAUCAUUUAUUAGAAUUUAUAUAAUCAUUGAAAAAACUGUUUUGAUUUGCUUAGAAAUAUAACUUUGAGGUCACUCACAUUUACGAGAAGGAAAUUGUUGUAUUGAUCGUAUUGCUAAUAUAUGUAUUUUUAUCUUUAGUCUCGCUUGUGCGAUAGCACGUCAGAUUUCUAUUAAAGACGAUUUUCAUCAUAAUCGAUUAGGUUUACCUUUAUAUAUAUUUUGUUUAUGUUGGUUUCUGCAAUAUAUAAACUCUACACUUUUUCUUUUUUUUUCGUUCAUCAAGCUUUCAAUAAAGCAAAAUGUUUUUAACACCUUAUGCCUUGUCUUGGGUAUUGUCAUAGUCUCCCCAAGUUAUACUAUAAGUUAACCAAACCACCCUUGUUAGAAUUUUAACACUUUGAAGUUCUUUACCAAACUUUUACUAUGAAAGUUUUAUUUUGUGGAAAUUUGAACACUUGUUGAAUCAUUAUUGAAAAGAUUAAUUAAAUGAAGAAAAUCUUAAUAAUUUUGUAGUAGUACAAAAGAAGGAUGAUAAAGAAAACUAUUCUGGCUUGGCACAGACAAACGGCUGAAGAAGAGCACAUGCAUAGGUACUGGUUAUCCAAUAUCUGGAAUUCGCACUUCUUGCAAGGCAAAUGUAGAAGUUUCCAAGAACGUUGGUAAUAGCAUUCUUCUUUUUUUAAAGGUUAAUAACUUGUUUUAUUAUUAUGUACUAUUGUAAUACUAAUAUUCUCUCCGGUCCUAUUUACAAAAAAUAAUUUACUUUUUAGAUACAUUAAAUAAUUUAUGUAUUUGGUUUAGGUUCUUGACUAGAUACAUACAUUAUUCAAUGUAUUUAAAAAGUGACCUUUCUCUUGUAAACAGGACCGGAGGGAGUACCUAAAAAGUGAUCUUUCUCUUGUAAACAGGGCCGGAGGGAGUGAGGGAAUACUAUAGAGGCUAGGAGCAUAAAAUGUAGCACAAAAUCACAGAAUAAAUUGUUUGGAAAAAAAUAAUCACGAAAGAAAUGGUUGAAUAAUCCAGUGUAAAGAAUCUGGUUUUUCUUUUUUUGAACUGAAAGUCAUUUGGAAACUUAAAAUAAUUCUUCAAAAUGAUGUGUUUUGGUGGGUUUAUCUUCAUGGGUAUUUUUAGGUGGUUAUGGUG
rnacentral:lncRNA from 1 species